GAGCCGCAACCUUGCCCAGCGAGCGGUUGGGUGUUCGCCAUCUUAGGAGGAUGUUCUCGUCCGUAGCGCACCUGGCGCGGGCGAACCCCUUCAACGCGCCACAUCUGCAGCUGGUGCACGAUGUGUCGGGUCCCCGCAGCCCCCCAGGUCCGCCCCGGCGUUCCCGCCACCUGGCUGCCGCCGCCGUGGAAGAGUACAGUUGUGAAUUUGGCUCCAUGAAGUAUUAUGCACUGUGUGGCUUUGGUGGGGUCUUAAGUUGUGGGCUGACACACACUGCUGUUGUUCCUCUGGAUUUAGUAAAAUGCCGCAUGCAGGAUUAGAAGUCUCCUUACCUAAAAGAGAAAGGAAGGUGAAAUAUUAGGAGGGAGAGAGGAAGGUGACGUAUACCAACCCUUCUAGUACCUGCAGGAAGAGUGAGAUAAGCUCCCUUACCCACAUGGCUCUUAGACAAUAGAUACCAGUGUGGACCCUCAGAAGUACAAGGGCAUAUUUAAUGGUUUCUCCAUUACAUUGAAAGAAGAUGGCGUUCGUGGUUUGGCUAAAGGAUGGGCCCCAACUUUGAUUGGCUAUUCCAUGCAAGGGCUCUGCAAAUUCGGCUUUUAUGAAGUCUUCAAAGCCUUAUAUAGCAACAUACUUGGUGAGGAGAACACCUAUCUGUGGCGUACAUCACUGUAUCUAGCUGCUUCUGCCAGUGCUGAGUUCUUUGCUGACAUUGCCCUGGCUCCUAUGGAAGCUGCUAAAGUUCGAAUUCAAACCCAGCCUGGCUAUGCCAACACACUGAGGGAAGCUGUCCCCAAAAUGUAUAA
rnacentral:lncRNA from 1 species